rnacentral:rRNA from 1 species
CCUACGGGAGGCAGCAGUGGGGAAUAUUGCACAAUGGGCGCAAGCCUGAUGCAGCCAUGCCGCGUGAGUGAAGAAGGCCCUAGGGUUGUAAAACUCUUUCACCGGUGAAGAUAAUGACGGUAGCCGGAGAAGAAGCCCCGGCUAACUCCGUGCCAGCAGCCGCGGU